UACGUAGGGUGCAAGCGUUAUCCGGAUUCACUGGGUUUAAAGGGUGCGUAGGUGGGCUGGUAAGUCAGUGGUGAAAUCUCCAGGCUUAACUUGGAAACUGCCAUUGAUACUAUCAGUCUUGAAUACCGUGGAGGUCAGCGGAAUAUGUCAUGUAGCGGUGAAAUGCUUAGAUAUGACAUAGAACACCAAUUGCGAAGGCAGCUCGCUACUCAAUUAUUGACUCUGAGGCACGAAAGCGUGGGGAUCAAACAGG
rnacentral:rRNA from 1 species